UAUUAAAAUUUUCAUCCAUUUUUACUGUUAAAAACUGAUGUAGCUGAUAGAAUAACUAAAUAAUGACAUGUGGCAUGCCAUGUGUACCUCAUGCUGAUGUACGAAGACCAGUUUUUAACAGUAAAAAUAGAUGAAAUCUUUAAUA
rfam:Gossypium hirsutum cultivar TM-1 chromosome 9, whole genome shotgun sequence